ensembl:misc_RNA
CAGUGUUGGUUGCUUUGAAAAUCUCUUUUAUUAAUAGUCCUUGGACAGCAGUAUUAGCAAAGUGUAGUCAAAUUGUCAAAGCAUGGAGCUAUGCUGAACUUUUAUACAAUAGCAUCUUUAUCAGAGGAUCAUUGUUUGAAGUACCAAGGAAACUUUGCAUUUCUGAAAGAAUA